GACGAACCGUGCGAACGUUAUUCGGAAUCACUGGGCUUAAAGCGCGUGUAGGCGGGAGGGCACGUCCGUUGCUGAAAUCCCCCGGCUCAACCGGGGAACGGGCGCGGAUACGACCUUCCUGGAGGGGCGUAGGGGGACCUGGAACUUCCGGUGGAGCGGUGAAAUGCGUUGAGAUCGGAAGGAACGCCCGUGGCGAAAGCGAGGUCCUGGACGCCUACUGACGCUGAGACGCGAAAGCCAGGGGAGCGGAACGGG
rnacentral:rRNA from 1 species